GUCUACAGCCCUACCAUCCUGAACGCGCCGACCGCAUCUGAUCUCGGAAGCUAAGCUGGGUCGGGCCUGGUCAAUACUUGGAUGGAGGACAGACCUUCAGAGGAGACUGCUCAGCGACAAGCAGUUUGGAGACA
rnacentral:rRNA from 1 species